AGCAGUGACUGGUAGUGGGUUAUCAGAAUGUAUUAACAUUAGUGUCAUUAAAGUUGGUAUACAACCUCCCCACUGCUGAAUUGACUGGCUAAAA
rnacentral:Y_RNA from 1 species